UGGCACCCAAACGUGGGGCCUGGAAACGAGGGACUCCGUGAGGAAGAGGACGCGAAAGACCGGUCGACCGUUAUCAAAGACAAAAGAAGUUAAACUCCUCCGAUCACCACGGGAACCUGCCGCGUCAGAAUCGAAGGUAAGUGACGCGUCCGAAAUGGGACAAGAAUUAAGUCAACAUCAAAUCUAUGUAGGACAAUUAAAAGAGGCUUUAAAGAUACGAGGAGUAAAGGUUAAAAGUAAUGAUUUGUUUAAAUUUUUUGAUUUUGUAAAAGACACUUACCCUU
rfam:Macaca mulatta chromosome 5, whole genome shotgun sequence.